rnacentral:rRNA from 1 species
AACGAACGCUGGCGGCAUGCCUAACACAUGCAAGUCGAACGAAGUCUUCGGACUUAGUGGCGCACGGGUGCGUAACGCGUGGGAAUCUGCCCUUGGGUACGGAAUAACUCAGAGAAAUUUGUGCUAAUACCGUAUAAUGUCUUCGGACCAAAGAUUUAUCGCCCAAGGAUGAGCCCGCGUAAGAUUAGCUAGUUGGUGGGGUAAAAGCCUACCAAGGCGACGAUCUUUAGCUGAUCUGAGAGGAUGAUCAGCCACACUGGGACUGAGACACGGCCCAGACUCCUACGGGAGGCAGCAGUGGGGAAUAUUGGACAAUGGGCGAAAGCCUGAUCCAGCAAUGCCGCGUGAGUGAUGAAGGCCCUAGGGUUGUAAAGCUCUUUUACCAGGGAUGAUAAUGACAGUACCUGGAGAAUAAGCGCCGGCUAACUCCGUG